GGGCCGUUCCGGAUUAUUGGGCGUAAGAGCUCGUAGGCGGUUUGUCGCGUCUGCCGUGAAAGUCCGGGGCUCAACUCCGGAUCUGCGGUGGGUACGGGCAGACUAGAGUGAUGUAGGGGAGACUGGAAUUCCUGGUGUAGCGGUGAAAUGCGCAGAUAUCAGGAGGAACACCGAUGGCGAAGGCAGGUCUCUGGGCAUUAACUGACGCUGAGGAGCGAAAGCAUGGGGAGCGAACAGGAUUAGAUACCCUGGUAGUCCAUGCCGUAAACGUUGGGCACUAGGUAUGGGGGACAUUCCACGUUUUCCGCGCCGUAGCUAACGCAUUAAGUGCCCCGCCUGGGGAGUACGGCCGCAAGGCUAAAACUCAAAGGAAUUGACGGGGGCCCGCACAAGCGGCGGAGCAUGUGGAUUAAUUCGAUGCAACGCGAAGAACCUUACCAAGGCUUGACAUGGGCCGGACCGGGCUGGAAACAGUCCUUCCCCUUUGGGGCCGGUUCACAGGUGGUGCAUGGUUGUCGUCAGCUCGUGUCGUGAGAUGUUGGGUUAAGUCCCGCAACGAGCGCAACCCUCGUUCCAUGUUGCCAGCGCGUAAUGGCGGGGACUCAUGGGAGACUGCCGGGGUCAACUCGGAGGAAGGUGGGGACGACGUCAAAUCAUCAUGCCCCUUAUGUCUUGGGCUUCACGCAUGCUACAAUGGCCGGUACAAAGGGUUGCGAUACUGUGAGGUGGAGCUAAUCCCAAAAAGCCGGUCUCAGUUCGGAUUGGGGUCUGCAACUCGACCCCAUGAAGUCGGAGUCGCUAGUAAUCGCAGAUCAGCAACGCUGCGGUGAAUACGUUCCCGGGCCUUGUACACACCGCCCGUCAAGUCACGAAAGUUGGUAACACCCGAAGCCGGUGGCCUAACCCCUUGUGGGAGGGAGCUGUCGAAGGUGGGACUGGCGAUUGGGACUAAUCGUAACAAGGUAACC
rnacentral:rRNA from 1 species